rnacentral:lncRNA from 1 species
AAGUUUGAUGAGAAAUUCCCAAACGAUGACGUCAGCUUUCUCUUCGGGGGAGAAAUGAACUUGCUGGAGAAAUUUUAAAAAAUAAAAAGCCCCAGAGUUGAAUUGAGAGCAGCAGCUGGAACAAUUGCAUUAUUAUUCUCUUCUUCAGCAGGGAAUCUCCGAUCAGCUGUUUUCUCUCUCCAUCAUAUGCCCUGCUUCUCCAUCUUCCACCGUCGAUUUUCAGUUCAUCAUCAGAGCAAUAGAAUCAGAACCUCAGCAUCAAU